rnacentral:rRNA from 1 species
CAGUCGCCACGGUAAUACGAAGGGGGCUAGCGUUGCUCGGAAUUACUGGGCGUAAAGGGCGCGUAGGCGGACAGUUCAGUCGGGGGUGAAAGCCCGGGGCUCAACCUCGGAAUUGCCUUCGAUACUGGCUGUCUUGAGUACGAGAGAGGUGUGUGGAACUCCGAGUGUAGAGGUGAAAUUCGUAGAUAUUCGGAAGAACACCAGUGGCGAAGGCGACACACUGGCUCAUUACUGACGCUGAGGCGCGAAAGCGUGGGGAGCAAACAGGAUUAGAUACCCCUGUAGUCCCUGUCUCUUAUAC